rnacentral:rRNA from 1 species
GACGAACGCUGGCGGCGUGCUUAACACAUGCAAGUCGAGCGGUAAGGCCCUUUCGGGGGUACGACGAGCGGCGAACGGGUGAGUAACACGUGGGUGACCUGCCCUCAGCUCUGGGAUAAGCCUGGGAAACCGGGUCUAAUACCGGAUAUGACUCCAUGACGCAUGUUGUGGGGUGGAAAGCCUUGUGCGGCUGAGGAUGGGCCCGCGGCCUAUCAGCUUGUUGGUGGGGUGAGGCCUACCAAGGCGACGACGGGUAGCCGGCCUGAGAGGGCGACCGGCCACACUGGGACUGAGACACGGCCCAGACUCCUACGGGAGGCAGCAGUGGGGAAGUCUUGCGCAAUGGGCGAAAGCCUGACGCAGCGACG